GAGACACUAGUAAAGCAUUUACACUGCCUUGUCAAGGCAGAAUCGUGGGUUAAACCCCCACGUGUCUUGCCAAACCAC
rnacentral:tRNA from 2 species